rnacentral:sRNA from 1 species
CAGAUGGAUGGAGUAUGCCUGCGGCGGUGAGAGAAACGCUAAAACUAAAAUAAAAUCCGGCACUCAGCGAGGAUGACAGAGCUUCCCGGGGGUGGAAGGGGAGCCCCAAUUGCCCUCGUUUUGUGUCUUUCUCCUUGCCUUGUUUGCAGAGAGAAGAAUGAGCCAAGGGCAGAUUGCAAUGGAAUGCUGACUGGCUAGCUAGGGUAUUAUUCUAUGGGUUGGGAUAGGGAAAAUGGAACUUAACCCGCAAGCGUGGUUCUACCGCUUCCAUGGCCCGGGAGCAUGGGAGGGAAAGGAUGUUUUGGCCAUUUUUCUUUUCUCUCUCUUUUUGAUGCAUGGCCCGAAAAUUAGACGUGAAGGAAUGGAGUGGUUGCAUGGAUGAGUUUGGAGGUAGUUUUGGGAACUUGACAAACUCCAGCUGCAACA